rnacentral:tRNA from 1 species
GCCCCCGUAGCGCAAUGGUAGCGCGUAAGACUGUAUGUUCUUUGUCCCUUCCCUUUCCAAAUCUUCCUACUAACCACAAAUAGUCUAAUCUUAAGGUUGCGAGUUCGAGCCUCGCCGGGGGCU